CUCGUAGGUGGUUCGGUUAGUCGGAUGUGAAAUCUCCAGGCUCAACCUGGAGGGGUCAUUCGAUACUGCCGUGACUAGAGUUCGGUAGAGGAGUGUGGAAUUCCUGGUGGAGCGGUGAAAUGCGCAGAGAUCAGGAGGAACACCCGUAGCGAAGGCGGCACUCUGGGCCGAUACUGACACUGAGGAGCGAAAGCGUGGGGAGCGAACA
rnacentral:rRNA from 1 species